GAUGAAGAACGUAGCGAAAUGCGAUACGUAAUGUGAAUUGCAGAAUUCAGUGAAUCAUCGAAUCUUUGAACGCACAUUGCGCCUGCCAGCACUCUGGCAGGCAUGCCUGUUCGAGCGUCAUUUCAACCAUCAAGCCCUAGGCUUGCGUUGGAGCCCUGCGGCUGCCGCAGGCCCCUAAAAGCAGUGGCGGGCUCGUUAUCACACCGAGUGCAGUAGAUUACUCUUCGCUCAGGGCGUGUGGCGGGUUCCAGCCGUGAAACCCCCUACUUCUCAAGGUUGACCUCGGAUCAGGUAGGAAUACCCGCUGAACUUAAGCAUAUCAAUAAGCGGAGGA
rnacentral:misc_RNA from 1 species